rnacentral:rRNA from 1 species
UGGGGAAUAUUGGACAAUGGGGGCAACCCUGAUCCAGCCAUGCCGCGUGAGUGAUGAAGGCCUUCGGGUUGUAAAGCUCUUUUGGCGGGGACGAUGAUGACUGUACCCUCAGAGAAAGCCCCGGCUAACUACGUGCCAGCAGCCGCGGUAAUACGUAGGGGCAAGCGUUGUCCGGAUUUACUGGGUGUAAAGGGCGCGCAGGCGGGAUAGAAAGUCAGUGGUGAAAUCCUACAGCUUAACUGUAGAACUGCCUUUGAUACUUUUAUUCUUGAGUUCGGGAGAGAGAGACGGAAUUCCAGGUGUAGUGGUGAAAUACGUAGAUAUCUGGAAGAACACCAGUUGCGAAGGCGGUCUCUUGGUCCGACACUGACGCUGAGGCGCGAAAGCGUGGGGAG